AAUUAUUUGCAGGAAAGUACCAAUAUGUAGUGAUGGUCCACCAGUAAAGCACUUUUUGUAUAAUUAAUUUUAUACAGUCCGGAAAAAAUACAGUAAAAGAAAUAAACUUAAAUAUUCCUAGGCUAGUAUAGCACAUAUUUAAACUAUAGUUGUCUUAGAGAGUGUGUAUUAGGCCUAGAUUUUUUUGUGGUUAUGAAGCUAAGGGCUGGAGGAGGAAAGAAAUGUCAUGAUAACGGGCAAUUAUGGUCAAUCCAAUGGAAAUUAAAAUUUUUACCAAAUUUGUAUCAACAAUAAGUAAUAAAUUAAAAGAAUUGCUUCCUUGUAUUUGCUUGGUCCAAAUAGGAUCUCCAGCCGUGUAACAACUGCGUCUCUGUGAUAAGGGAGGGAGUAUAAGUGUUGGCUCCAAAGCAGCAGUUGAUACAGUUGACUCUCGUAUCCAAAGUCAACUAGGUUCAGCACCACAGCCCUCCUCGACCAGGCCGCACAAUACAUCUGCACCAAUCCCAGAGCACGACCCACGACAACGCAGGUGCAGCAGGAGAGACCACUGGACGAGAAGGCAACCGAACAGCAUCUUCAGUAUGACCAAGCGGUUGCUGGUGGUGUCGCUCUCGGCAAGAAUGCCUGCAUACGUAAUUGAUUUUCUCUCCAAUGGUACAUCGUCAUCCGUAAUACACACAUCUGAACGUGUUACCAUUCCAAGGAAGGGCUGAGCUUCUAUGUCUUCCUCUGAUAAUUUUGUACCUAUUACCCUAAAUACAUUAGUCUGAGUAUUUGA